rnacentral:rRNA from 1 species
AUUGAACGCUGGCGGCAUGCUUUACACAUGCAAGUCGAACGGCAGCGCGGGGCAACCUGGCGGCGAGUGGCGAACGGGUGAGUAAUACAUCGGAACGUACCCAGAAGUGGGGGAUAACGUAGCGAAAGUUACGCUAAUACCGCAUACGUUCUACGGAAGAAAGUGGGGGACCUUCGGGCCUCAUGCUUUUGGAGCGGCCGAUGUCUGAUUAGCUAGUUGGUCGGGUAAAGGCCUACCAAGGCGACGAUCAGUAGCUGGUCUGAGAGGACGACCAGCCACACUGGGACUGAGACACGGCCCAGACUCCUACGGGAGGCAGCAGAGGGGAAUUUUGGACAAUGGGCGCAAGCCUGAUCCAGCAAUGCCGCGUGAGUGAAGAAGGCCUUCGGGUUGUAAAGCUCUUUUGUCAGGGAAGAAACGGUCGGGGUUAAUACCUCUGGCUAAUGACGGUACCUGAAGAAUAAGCACCGGCUAACUACGUGCCAGCCGCCGCCGUAA